CCUGAUAGCCCUCAAUGUCUACGUGUAUUUAAAAUUGAGAGGUGGGCAAUGACGCCAGGGGUGAGGUGUACACCCUGAUGGUAAUUUGGAGUCCGUGUUGUGAGCCCACCCCCAAGAUCCUAUAUGUAUGUGUUAUGAGAGUGUGAGUAAUGUGAAUGUCUAAGUUGUGAGAUAAAAUUGAGGCAGAGGCAGCCAGAAGGGGACAGAGGGGGGGGAUGCCUCCUCUGCACCCUGGUGGAUAAUUGUAAAAAGUAGUCUGAUUUACGCUUAAGGUUUGCUCAAAUUCAGUAUAAUGAUAUAUGAGUUGAAGAAAAUAAGGAAAAUACCUAAUCUAAUCAAGUGCAUAGAGACACUUGACCUGCUUGUAAACCUGUCAUCCUAGAUGAGACUUUAUUGAGAUGGAGAGCAAACCUGUACUAACAACUAAUAAGCCAAACCCGGUAUACAACAGCUAAAGCUACAGGUUUGAGAAGCUGAAUUACAUAUGUGGACACUACUAAGCUAAUGAGCAAGCUACACAGCAAGUUUUUUUUCAUUUGUUUUUCAGAGCAGAAGCUGAAUGAUAUUAAAAGCUCACACAUGCAGCUGUGAGCUCAGAUUUUUCCCUCACAUUUCUGCUUUGUUACUGGCAGCAACUUUUUUCUUUUUGCGUCCUGACUCGUGUGUAAAGCCUUAAUGACAUCGGCAAUUUGUUUUUGUUUUUGUUUGUUUGUUUUGUUGGUUUGAAAAAUAACUUUGUGAUCAUACUUGUGGAUCACAGUGACACAUAAUGAUUAGGCAUAUGAUUUACUAAUGUCUAGUUUUAAAGCUGUGAGCAAUGCAUCCACAUAGAGAUUAGAAGCCUGGUGCAUGAUGUAUAUGAAGCUGCUAUAGGGAGAAUGGAACCUUGUGGGAAGCGUUUACAUAAAGAAGUUUUAAAAAAAAAGGCAAAGAAAAAAAAGAAACAAAACAAAAACAAAUCCUAACUUAGCAGUUUGAAAUAUGUGAGAUGUGUGAGUUCUUUGAGAAAAUAGAAAUGACCUAAAUGCCUUAAGUCAAAAUGUAGUCUUGCACCUGAAAAGAAAUAAAACAGAAGAAGCAUUCAGUAACUUGAAACUAGCAUUACAGAUGAAUAUAGUUUACUUAGUGACUUCAAUUUUAAUCUAAGCCCAUUUGUCUUACCUCACACAUGCGAGACAGCUCUAAAAUGAUGGAAUCUUAUUGUCGUAAUCACAGAUUAGAAUUGAUAAAUGAUGUCAGUUGAACCUGAGCACACCUUUGGCCUCACCCGAAGAAGGUCAUCUACACUGCUGUGUAACAAAACUAGAUGAGGAGACAAAGCCGCGAGCUGACAUUUACUGUACACCACAAGCUGGUUCCACUGACGUUUUGUAGACGACUCAGCGUCUAAAAGUAGCCAUCGGCUAUGCAGUAACUACAACAGACAGAGUUGCGGAAGCGAAACCGUUGACAUCCUCACACACGCAGGCCAAGAUAUAAAUAUAUAUACUGACAGUCAGUAUGUUUUUUCAGCAGCAUCACUUUGAAAAAUUUGGCAGAACAGAGGAGUGAUUACAUCUAUUGGACAUCCAGUACAGCAUGCAAAUCUUCUGAAAACACUAUUAGGAGUGAUUACAUUGCCAAAACAGUUAGCAUUGUGUAAAUGUGCUGCGCAUCAGAAAGAUGAAUCAGAAAUAACUAAAGGUAACAACUUUGCAGAUCAGGUAGCUAAGUUAGCCGAACAACAAACUGUAGACGCAUUAAUGUCUGCAUCCAUUAUGCAAAUAUGAACAAAGAGCAGCGCCAACUACAGAACAGAAGACAUGGUUAAAGUGUGGAGCACGACUAUAAUAUGAUUUGAUGUUGUGAAGGUAAACCGAUACUCCCCAAGUCCCUGUGCAGAACAGCAGCAUUAGUGACACAUGGGGUGACCCAUGUGUCCUCAGGGCGGAUAGUCCAGGUCCUUAAUACACACUUUUAUACUCUAGUGAUUAUAGAUUUCUUCACAAAAUGGCCAGAGAUUUAUCUAGUGUAAAAAGCAGAUGCAAUCUCAGUUGCAAAAAGUGACCCUUAGAAAAAUCUGUCGGAGAGACAGCUCUGGCAAAACUACUAGAAAAUAAGGAUAUUGUUUUGAACAAUAAACUGCCGUAAGACUCUCCAGUCUCUUGCAGGUUGAAACCAAGUGCUAUUGACAACACCCAUAGCCUGUAAAAUUGCAGAGAGACCAUCUUGGAUACAUCAGAGCCACUGCAAAAAGGUUGAGGUCCCGGGAAGCCCCGACACUAAGGAGGAAGCGCCUAUGCCUGGUUGUUUCGGGGGUGAGGGUGGUAAGUGCGAUUCUGGGGCCCCCGUGGGGUAAGCCCGCACUCCGCUCUCUAUCCGAUCAACUUUAGGCAGCCAGGUGUAGGUGUGAAGGGGAACCCUGGUGGUUACCUUGACUACAAGGCUCACCCUUACAGGACCCCAGCUGAUGCCAACAGCAGCCGAGCCACGAGAAAGAGAAGAUGGACGUAUGACAACUUAUACCUAAUGGACAUGAUACAAGAUCACAUCCAUCUAUGGAUGAAAAAUGCCUGAUACAGAUAUGUGUUUAACAAAACCACAGAGAAAGACUGUUACGUCUGCUCGCACAUGCCGAGCACAUUAACACAACCAUAUAUGGGAAACACCCUGGGACAGGUGCACUAAUUCUGAUCUCCGACCACCUUCAGAGUGACUUUUGUAAAGUGCACAACAACAACAUCGUCAUCCUGAUCCAGGAAGAAACGCUCAACUUCAACAGUCAGACCACAUGACUCAACCUGGGAAACCGAUGUACCUGAUAAAUUCAAACUUUGGACAAUUGGACAAAAGGUACUCAACUCACUCUUCCUGUGGGCAGGAGUUGGAAAACAUGCUCUCAGAAGUGAGAUAAUGGACUAUGGAUUCGGCUUGUUUCUCAAAGCAUCCUGCAAGGUCAACGAGGGACAACAUCAAGAAAUAGACGCUCUCAGAAUUGCUGUAAUGCAACAUUGUGUAGCACUGCACAUGAUCCUGGAGAGAGGAGGAUUGUGUGUCUUAUUCAACACCACAUGCUGCACCUACGUACCAGAUGUAAUGUACAUUCUUUAAACAUGGCUUCAGAUGCUAUAGAGACUGUUGAUCGUCGUUGGACUUUUCCUGAUUUUAUUUUGUUUUCUCUAUUUGAGUUAUUCCUUGUUUAGAAGCUGUAAUUUCACAGAUGAUGAGUUUAUCAUUCACAGCAUACGCAGAUGUACUGAAAUCAAUGAAGAUCAUGAAGAUGAAGAGUAACAAAUGAUGUACUAACUGAGAAUGUGAAAGACAAGUAGUUACUUAUUGUACAUUUCAUUUCGCUGAUAAACAGGGCCGGAUGUCAGAAGAAAAUUAUGUUUUGAUCAGUUACAUGAAAUGUAUUUUUUAUGUUUAUCAGUGAAGCACAUGUCUACGUGACUUUUCACCUAAUAACUUUUGACAUGAACUCUUCUGUGAUAAACAACUUACAGCUUCCUCUUAUUAUUCUAGAACAUACAGAUUUAGAAAAGGGGAACCUCAGCUCUGAGUUCUGAGAAUAAUGUUGUCAUCUUUGUAUACACACACACACAUACACACAGAACAAUCUUGUAUAAAUAAAGAACGCAGACGGUGACAAAGCGCGAGUCCAUGAGUGUCUCCUGUGUGAGCGCUUCUGUGACCGUCCUCGCGAGUAAAAGAAA